CCUACGGGCGGCAGCAGUGGGGAAUAUUGGACAAUGGGGGGAACCCUGAUCCAGCCAUGCCGCGUGUGUGAAGAAGGCCCUCGGGUUGUAAAGCACUUUCAGUGAGGAAGAACGCCUGGUGGUUAAUACCCAUCAGGAAAGACAUCACUCACAGAAGAAGCACCGGCUAACUCCGUGCCAGCAGCCGCGGUAAUACGGAGGGUGCGAGCGUUAAUCGGAAUUACUGGGCGUAAAGCGCGCGUAGGUGGCUUGAUAAGCCGGUUGUGAAAGCCCCGGGCUCAACCUGGGAACGGCAUCCGGAACUGUCAAGCUAGAGUGCAGGAGAGGAAGGUAGAAUUCCCGGUGUAGCGGUGAAAUGCGUAGAGAUCGGGAGGAAUACCAGUGGCGAAGGCGGCCUUCUGGACUGACACUGACGCUGAGGUGCGAAAGCGUGGGUAGCGAACAGGAUUAGAUACCCCUGUAGUC
rnacentral:rRNA from 1 species